GUGUCAGCCGCCGCGGUAAUACAGGGGGCUCGAGCGUUAGUCGGAAUCACUGGGCUUAAAGGGUGCGUAGGCGGCUCAUCAAGUGUUUUGUGAAAUCCCCGAGCUCAACUCGGGAACAGCAGGGCAAACUGGUGAGCUUGAGGCAGGUAGGGGCCGACAGAACAGUAGGUGGAGCGGUGAAAUGCGUAGAUAUCUACUGGAAUGCCGAUGGGGAAGCCGGUCGGCUGGGCCUGUCCUGACGCUGAGGCACGAAAGCGUGGGGAGCAAACAGGAUUAGAAACCCCGGUAGUCC
rnacentral:rRNA from 1 species